rnacentral:rRNA from 1 species
AUACGUAGGGCGCAAGCGUUGUCCGGAAUUAUUGGGCGUAAAGAGCUCGUAGGCGGUUUGUCGCGUCUGCUGUGAAAACUGGAGGCUCAACCUCCAGCCUGCAGUGGGUACGGGCAGACUAGAGUGCGGUAGGGGAGAUUGGAAUUCCUGGUGUAGCGGUGGAAUGCGCAGAUAUCAGGAGGAACACCGAUGGCGAAGGCAGAUCUCUGGGCCGUAACUGACGCUGAGGAGCGAAAGCAUGGGGAGCGAACAGGAUUAGAUACCCUGGUAGUCCACGCCGUAAACGUUGGGCGCUAGUUGUGGGGACCAUUCCACGGUUUCCGUGACGAAGCUAGCGCAUUAAGCGCCCCGCCUGGGGAGUACGGCCGCAAGGCUAAA